ensembl:lncRNA
CUUUUUUUUUUCUUUUUUUUUUUUUUUUUUUUUGAGAUGAGUAUUUGGCCUAAGGUAGUUUAAUUCUUGUAAGUUUUUGCUUCUUACUGAAUAGAACAACCAUUCAAAUUCAGUCCCUGGGCUCUAUAGCCCAAUUGACUUCACUGGAUAUUCAAUCCACCUGAAUACAACUCAUAAUAAAUUGUUUCAGUCAGCAUGUUUAUGAUCCUGAUGACAGGUGAACUAAGUGGAGGAAUGGUAUAGGAUGGUUAGAAAACAACUUCAUCUGUCUUUCAGUUUUAAAAGCAUAUCCCAUCUAUUGCUAACUUUGUGUUGUCAAUCAUCCUAAAAUUAAUUCAAGAAAAAUUUUUCAAGGCUACAGUCUUUUCUGUCUUAGUAUGAAUCUGCAGUAAUUAAAUGGUGACAUUCAUGGAUUAGGUAUUGUCAUAUAUUUUUAAAAGCACCUUCAAUCACAUUUUAUCCUUGGUCUUGGAGAUUCCACCCCAUGCUCAUUUCCCUGCAGUAGAAUUGAAAGCAAGAAUUGAAAGCCGUUUUCCUUACUCUGCAGUGCUUGUAAUUUUUUCUACUGACAUGCUUACCCCCGCCAGUUCUUCACCCUUACACAGUUCUUUUCAGCUCACAGGUGGGUCAGCUGGUGGCAACACUUGGCCUCCUAGCACAACUUGCAUAAACAUAAUCCAUGAAACAAUGCUGUAGAGUGGUGUUGUGGCUUUGUUUGCUUCUAGAGGUAAAACACAGAGGUAAGAAAAUGCAGAUCUGAGGCUGCAAAAGGUCUCAAGUGGUUGAUUUCAAGAGAUCCUUCAGCCCUCAAAUUUAAAUUGUCAGAGGACAGCCUCAGGAGUUCUUAGGGACCCUCAACUACUGUCGGCAGCAAAGGCUCAGGGCACCAAAAAAGCCAUUUUUGUGAGUGCCCCUUUGUCCACCACAUGCAAAGCCAGCAGCUUGGCUGGAGGACCUUGAUUUAAAUUGGAUUUUCUUGGCAUGGAUGGCACAACAGUCUGUAUCUGCCAGAGAAGCUGGUCUUUCUCGAUGUUUUUCUUAUCAGUGCCUAAGACUUUACUUUCAUAAUAUUUUGCACCAGCUGACAUGCAUCAACAUGUCUUUUGCUUGUAAAAUAAAAGGCAACAGUAUUAUUUCUCCCUUUAUAUACAAUCUGAAUAAGUCCAUUUUUCCAAGUUAAUGUUUGCUUUGAUAAACUGAAGGCAGUGCGCCUGCAGCUACCACAACACACUAAAGAAAUAACCUGAAUUUAAAAUAGACUAAUGCAAAAUUGUGUCCCAAGGCAAAGGGCAGGAAAUUGGUUGCAGUUGAACUAAUAUUUCUCUUGAAAUAAUCUGUAGCUGCUAUUUGCUACACAGCUUCUGCUCAUCCCUGGGCAAUUCCGGAUGCCUUUGGAAAACCCUCUCAAACUUCAUUCUGUGCUGCCAAUAUAUGGUGUGACUCCUCAUGUUUGCAGCCCUUUGGUACAGAAGAAAUGUGUAUCUUUAUACAAGGGGUGUAGAAAAUGUCUAUUGUAUGAGAUGAUUCAUUCAUAGUACUUCCCCUUUGAGUGAAAAAUAAAGGAAGUGCAUGACAAAAUUGGGAACUUCCAUUCAGGCUUGUAAACUCUUCUCUCCUGGAUGUUUCAAAUAGAUAAACGGAAGGAAAAUUACACAAAAAGACAUGGAUGGU